GACGUCCCAUGCUUACCCACAGGCUGUGUUCUUACAGUGCCUGUACAGAAAGAGGAGGCAGUGUAGACUCACCCCAUAUAUACCUCAGCCCAGGCCCUUUGCCUGGUCAGCAUUGUGAAUGGCUGGAUUGUU